rnacentral:lncRNA from 1 species
AUGCUUGCUCAAGGAAGAAAGGAGAAGGAAAGGGGAGGUACCAGCUAUAUCUUUUCCUUCUCAUCAGGAGAAGCAAAAGCUCUCUCAGAGCCCUGGCCCAGUCCCAGUGAGUCUCCAGUUUUCUCUCCUAACACCAUUCAGUGGACACAAAAGGUGAGUGGAAGUCUCUCCACUAAGUAUUUCGUAAACUCAGCUUUUUCUGCCUCAUCUCCAUUGCAUCUCUAGUGAUUCUGCUAUUCUGCCCUGUAUGUGGGUGCUCUAAGACUUUUAUUUCUAAGCCAACUUUUACUAUUAGGGGAAGGAAUAGUGGGUGCCUGUCUCACCAGGUGCAGUAUCAUUUCACGUUAUGAAGGCGGAAUAGAUCAGGUUUUCCAUAUUUGCUUCUACUGGGAAAAGUCUUUCAAUCCUCAUCAGUUGACUUCUCUACCAGUUGAAUCUUGUGAAUCCUUCCUUGGGUUUGACAAAGGCUGGGCUCAGCUGUGACUUUUUAAAUCAGCUCUCUCGAGAUGUCCAUGCUGCCCUUUUCUACUUCUUUCUGACCCUUUUGUCCCUGCCCCUCUUCCUUUCCUCCUGUCCUCUCUGCGUGUUUGUGUUCUUGCCCAACAUCUGCCCUUGGCCCACAGGGCAAGUUCCGCUCUGGGUAUUGUCUAUUUUUUUUCUUUCUUUCUUUUUUUUUUUUUUUUUGCAACAUCUCCCUCAGGGCAAUAAACACAAAUUUGCAUUUCA